CACUGAAUCACAGACCAGUUGGAAGAGAGUAUGCCACAUGGCAGAUGACUCUUUACUCCAGUGACUUAUCAGUCUUCAUUUCCUGUGUUCUGGCAAGUGGUUUUGACACAUAAUGGCUGAUAAAAAGUGUACAAGUGAUAAUGUUGAGCCUGCUGAAAGAAAAUAGGGAAAAGUGUCUUGCCAAACAUUAAAAUGCAUGCCUAUAGCAGAUCAAGACUCCUUCAAGGAGAUGGUAAAGGAAAUAUAGGCAUCAACAGAGAAAUUAGGGCUCAGUGUAAAUCCUUUAACAUUAUUGAAAAUAAACACGCCACUACAUAGCCUUGAGAGUAUGAAUCAUCAGUUAUGUAACAGAAGAAAUAGUUUACUAAGGCAUAGCAUGGCUUCAGCCAAUUUGAAGAAAAUGGCAAAGCCAUGUCCAGCCGGCCAUUCUUCAUCUCCAUAGGUAUCUUCACAGGGACUGUGC
rnacentral:lncRNA from 1 species